GGGAGGGAGGUGGGGGGGACAGCCUCCCACCCGGCCAGCCGCCCCGUCCGGGAGAUGAGGGGCGCCUCUGCCCGGCCGCCCCUACUGGGAAGUGAGGAGCCCCUCUGGCCGGCCAGCCACCCCAUCCGUGAGGGGAGGGGGGAUCAGCCCCCCGCCCGGCCAGCCGCCCCGUCCGGGAGGGAGGUGGGGGGGUCAGCCCCCCGCCUGGCCAGCCGCCCCAUCCGGGAGGUGAGGGGCGCCUCUGCCCGGCCACCCCUACUGGGAAGUGAGGAGCCCCUCUGCCCAGCCAGCCGCCCCGUCCGUGAGGGAGGUGGGGGGAUCAGCCCCA
rnacentral:lncRNA from 1 species